rnacentral:rRNA from 1 species
GACGAACGCUGGCGGCGUGCCUAAUACAUGCAAGUAGAACGCUGAAGGAGGAGCUUGCUCUUCUGGAUGAGUUGCGAACGGGUGAGUAACGCGUAGGUAACCUGCCUGGUAGCGGGGGAUAACUAUUGGAAACGAUAGCUAAUACCGCAUAACAGUAGAUGUUGCAUGACAUUUACUUAAAAGGUGCAAUUGCAUCACUACCAGAUGGACCUGCGUUGUAUUAGCUAGUUGGUGGGGUAACGGCUCACCAAGGCGACGAUACAUAGCCGACCUGAGAGGGUGAUCGGCCACACUGGGACUGAGACACGGCCCAGACUCCUACGGGAGGCAGCAGUAGGGAAUCUUCGGCAAUGGACGGAAGUCUGACCGAGCAACGCCGCGGGAGUGAAGAAGGUUUUCGGAUCGUAAAGCUCUGUUGUAAGAGAAGAACGAGUGUGAGAGUGGAAAGUUCACACUGUGACGGUAUCUUACCAGAAAGGGACGGCUAACUACGUG